rnacentral:rRNA from 1 species
GAUGAACGCUGGCGGCGUGCCUAAUACAUGCAAGUCGAGCGAACAGAUAAGGAGCUUGCUCCUUUGACAUUAGCGGCGGACGGGUGAGUAACACGUGGGUAACCUACCUAUAAGACUGGGAUAACUUCGGGAAACCGGAGCUAAUACCGGAUAACAUUUGGAACCGCAUGGUUCUAAAGUGAAAGAUGGUUUUGCCAUCACUUAUAGACGGACCCGCGCCGUAUUAGCUAGUUGGUAAGGUAACGGCUUACCAAGGCAACGAUACGUAGCCGACCUGAGAGGGUGAUCGGCCACACUGGAACUGAGACACGGUCCAGACUCCUACGGGAGGCAGCAGUAGGGAAUCUUCCGCAAUGGGCGAAAGCCUGACGGAGCAACGCCGCGUGAGUGAUGAAGGGUUUCGGCUCGUAAAACUCUGUUAUUAGGGAAGAACAAACGUGUAAGUAACUGUGCACGUCUUGACGGUACCUAAUCAGAAAGCCACGGCUAACUACGUG